ensembl:lncRNA
GAGAACACUGGAGACAUAUUAAAAAUUAUAUGUUAUGAUUUAAUUUAAAUUAUUAGCUGCGGGGCAUCUGACUAAUGUGGCAAAUGCUUAAACAUAGGUGAGAGCCCAGAAUAUUCAGGUGUAGUUAAAUUUUGGAAUGCACUUUGGAGUUACAGUGAUGUUGAACUAAGAAAAUGUUUCGUGUUUUUAUUUGACAAUCUAUUACAAAAUACUGACUUGCUCUUACAUGAAUUUGGUAUCAAUUCCAAGUCUCAUUUUCUGUUCCCCUGAGGAUGCGCAAAACUGACUGGAAGAGUAACAUGAUCAUAUAACUACAUUCACUAAACAGCAAAGAAUCUCUCAUUAAUCUUCGGAACAUUAAUUCUAAAAUAAAGCUGCAUAGCCCAUGCUGUCUGGAGACCAAUGCCAAUAGAAGGUUUCAUGAAGACUGGGAUCCAGGCACCUGUCGGAAGAGAAGAACAACUACAUUCCCCAGAGUUGUGUUCAGACAGGAGAUAUAACCCCUGGCAAGAUGAGGGACAUCUCUUUUCAUCUGAAAGCUCAAGAAAACCAUGUUAUAAAUCUGGGUAUCCCAUGGCAAAAAUGGUUUGGCUGUGCCUAUUUUCCCUUUCCCAGGAUACUGCUACAAAUAAGUUUGAAAUACUAAAACAAAAUUACUUUGGUUAUUUUAGUUUUAGAUAGUCACUUCCUUGUCCAGUGUUUUGCAUUUAUUUAGUAACUUACAAUAAGAAAUAAUGUAUUGUUCUGAGAUUAGACUGAUUUCUUAGCUAUGUAACUGAGGAGUUGUUGCAAGAACAUUUUCUGAGUCUAUGCUCUCAUUUCUGAAAAUAUAAAACGGUGUCAGAUAUAUAUAGAACUAUAAUGUCCUUAGUUUUAUUUUGCAUUUCACUCAUUCUUUUGAUAUGAAAAGCUGCUACAAUUCAUUAUCUUGCCAGAAGGAGUAUUGUAGAGAUGAAACAAGUUGUGAUUUGAGGUAGGCUAAAUCAGAAUGGAAAUAUUUUACUAAAGGAAAGCCUUCAAGCUGCAAAUAAAGAGUAAUUCUUCUAUUGAAAGGCUGUUGCCAAAAACAAUAACUUCUAUGGAGCCAUCAUGCCUUUGAUUUAGCAAAGCAAAGAACUGAGGUUUUGAGUCUGAGACAUUAACACAAUAUUUAACAAAGAUAAAUAAUUCUUUGGAUGAGAAGAAGCAUUUCUUGCUGCUUCACAGAUCAACAACUUAAACUUUUUCCAUGUACUUUAGUUUAUGAAUUUUAAAGAUAAUAAUCCUUAGGGGCCACAGUUUUCACAACUCUAGAUGUGUUGGCUGAAUUCUAUAAACCUGGAAAAUUUCAAACAAAAAGACAAUUGAUUCUUAUUUUUUGUAUGUAUAUUUAGAUAUUUGUAUGUAUAUAUAUACAUACAAAAAAAAAAAAUAUAUAUAUAUAUACACACAUACAUACAAAUAUAUAUAUAUACAACAACAGAACUGUUUUGAGAAUGGUGGGUGAAUAGUGCCAGUUCUUUGCCCUUAGGUUCUUAGUAUAAAAUGCAAACCCAAUCUUUGAAAUGUUUGUGAUACAUACAGCUAACAGAAUUAGCAUUGCAAUGCUAGAUCAUUUUUUUCUUGAAUACAGGAAAAGGUCAAAAUAAUUCUUUUUAUUGUAUUACUUGGUCUUUAAUGAAUAGAUAUUUCGUUCCUUUGAGGAUCUAGCCUUAUGCUUCGACAAGAAUUGAAACGUGAUGCACCAUUUACUGUCUGAGAUAAAUGUGAAAUACUUAACAUUUAAUUUGUAUUAAUUGAUACUAUGCCAACAGUAAGAAUAAAGUCACAUUCUUCCUUGAGAGAAUUGAGAAUGCUCUGUGCACUUUGAUGAAUUUGAGCUGUAUCUUUAUAAGUAGAAUAGGCUUAUGACUGUGACAGACAAUAUACAAUUUUUUGGCAACUCUGAUACACUGUUGGUUUUUCAUUGCUGCUUGUAACAUUACAAAGAAAAUAAGUUUGGAAGUUAUGUGAUGCCUUUCUCCAUCCUAAUAAAUCUGUCCCACUGCAUUGUUUUUUAACUUUAUUUCUCUUUGGUAGUGGACUUAUUCUUGAAUGAGGUUU